rnacentral:rRNA from 1 species
UACGAAGGGGGCGAGCGUUGUUCGGAUUUACUGGGCGUAAAGGGCGCGUAGGCGGCGCGAGAAGUCGAGUGUGAAAGCCCCGGGCUCAACCUGGGAAUUGCGCUCGAUACUCUUGUGCUUGAGUUCGGGAGAGGAGCGUGGAAUUCCCAGUGUAGAGGUGAAAUUCGUAGAUAUUGGAAGAACACCGGUGGCGAAGGCGGCGCUCUGGACCGAGACUGACGCUGAGGCGCGAAAGCGUGGGAGCAACAGGG